CUCUGUGCCUCUGAUGCGCAUCUCUGUGCCUCUUCGUGUCUCUGAUGUGCCUCUCCAUGCUUCUGAUGCGCAUCUCUGUGCCUCUCCGUGCCUCUGAUGUGCUUCUCCAUGCCUCUGAUGCGCAUCUCUGUGCCUCUCUGUGCCUCUGAUGUGCCUCACCAUGCUUCUGAUGCGCAUCUCUGUGUCUCUGAUGUGCUUCUCCGUGCCUCUGAUGCGCAUCUCUGUGCCUCUUCGUGCCUCUGAUGUGCCUCCCCAUGCCUCUGAUGCGCUCCUCUAUGUGCCUCCAAUGUGCACCUCUGCAUGGCUUUGAUGCAAGCCUCUCUAUGCAUCUGAGGUGCAUUGUUCUGUGCCUCCUAUGUGCGCCUCCAAUUGUUCUGUACUCCUAGUAUUUGAGGCAUUCGGGACCCUUCAAAGCGGCAGGAUCAGGUGCCAUUAAUCCUUGUUGUGCUGUAAGUUGCAGGCAUCUUGCUUGGCACCACCUGUUCUUUCCUGAGACUCCGAAGGGCAGCCUCAAGCUUCGGGCACAAAGUCAUGUGUCGGCACUGAAAACAGUUCGACACCUAAAAGGGGUGCCGCCCUCUGCCAGCCAUCUGAAGAUUUCUGCACCCCUCCUGAAGAGGGUGUCGUCUUCUACCAGCCAUCCAAAAGGGGGACGUCAUCCUCUGCACCCUGUCCAAAAGGGGGCGCCAUCCUCUGCACCCUGCCCAAAGGGGGACGUCAUCCACUGCACCCUGCCCAAAGGGGGACGUCAUCCUCUGCACCCUGUCCAAAAGGGGGCGCCAUCCUCUGCACCCUGCCCAAAGGGGGACGUCAUCCACUGCACCCUGUCCAAAAGGGGGCGCCAUCCUCUGCACCCUGCCCAAAGGGGGACGUCAUCCACUGCACCCUGUCCAAAAGGGGGCGCCAUCCUCUGCACCCUGCCCAAAGGGGGACGUCAUCCACUGCACCCUGUCCAAAGGGGGACGUCAUCCACUGCACCCUGCCCAAAGGGGGACGUCAUCCACUGCACCCUGUCCAAAAGGGGGCGUCAUCCUCUGCACCCUGCCCAAAGGGGGACGUCAUCCACUGCCACCCAAGUGCUGACUAUGUGUACAUGUGCUUCAGCCUGCAGCUUUGAACCUGCGUUCAGACACACACAUCAGAUCCUCAGAUUGGUCACACAGCCCGGCGCUCAGGAUGCUUAUUGGAGGCAAUCCAUCACUCGCACAUCCACCCGGACCAGGGCUGUUCCCUGACACCCCCCGACACACUGCCCUUUGCCUCCCUCACCUGCCAGCAUUCAGAAACAGCCACAGAGACUUUGUCAAGCUGAAUAUCUGAUGACUCUAUUUAAAUCUCGCUGUGAAAGUGCACUUGUUCUGGCUGUCCACUGCACUUUUUUGAAAGUGAUGCGGUUACAGAUCCAUCCCUGUUCUUUUUCAGCUCCUUUUAACCACUGCGCCACCGACUGGCUGGUCUGGUACUCUGCAGAGCUGAGUGCCAGCCCCCCGCUGAUGUUCCAGUUGGGGUCGAGUUCCACCCCAUCCGUGUCUUGCCAGUCUGGGGACCACCCAGAGGAAUCCAUUGGUUGACGGACACACGCCUGCCAGCUGGUCCGGCCUGACGGAUGACGGCAGCUGUGUGGAGCUGAGUCACAGUGCCCCGGCCACCACAACCACCCACAGGGAGUGUGUCGCGUCAGUGGUGUAAUAUCAUCCGGCUGCAGACUGUCCAUGCUGACAGGCCUGUAUGCAUGGGAGACACAGAUCUCUUAAUUCCAGCCUUGUUUUGACAUUUUCCUGGUGCUCUUUUUGAAUGGCGUGGUUCCUUGUUUUUUGAAAUGAUGCCCCAUUUGCUCAGUGUUCACACCCCUUCAGCUGUGAUGUGAUGUCACUCCCAUUGUGAUGUCGCUGAUGAUGUCACUCUGCCUUUCCCACCAUUGUCUUGAGCAGUGGUCUUGCUGCACUCUCCGUUGAACUGCACAGUCUGGAUCCUGGUUGCCCUGAGUUGAGAAACAUAUGGUGUAUAAGCAGUGAGGAUUACUGUGAGUUUCAACAUUGUACCGACAUGUGUGCACAGCAUAAUGAAACACUCACCCAGGUGCACCACCAGCCACUGGCCAAUAAAGACAAGAAAGUAAAACGGGCAAAAAAGCAACCAUUUCUCAAGUAAGAGCGAAAAAUGGGAGUUUUAGCACCGAAAGAAAUGCUCUGUUUCAUGGUUUUCAGGAAUUAACAUAAAAAGCCAAACCAGGAGGGCAUCUAGUGAAAUGCAAGCAAAUGAUAAUGUGCUGAUAUUCCCACAGGCUCCUGCAUCCUUCCACGGUGAGUCGCACACCCCCACAGGCUGUGGCCCCCCCACUCGCCGUAACCUCUACCUUAGAGCUGAUCUGUAGCUGAGCCCAGACUAGGACCCUUUCUUCUCUGCACUUGCUUUAGCAAAUGAUUUUGUGACUUGCUGAGAGCUAGGGGCACUUAUGACGAGAUUCAACCGCUAUUGUUCUUAAAAUCAUACCCCACUCCUCACACCCCCACUCUACUGUGGUACUCACACCAGAGUUAUUGGUGAACCAGUGACAAUAAGAAAUGACGUGUGACAUCACCUGAGCGCAUUUUCAGGGUGCAGUCAGUAACAGACACAGCUUUGAGGGGUGCGGAGGUCUCGGGUGGGGCUGUAACAGACACAGCUUUGAGGGGUGCGGAGGUCUCAGGUGGGGCUGUAACAGACACAGCUUUGAGGGGAGCGGAGGUCUCGGGUGGGGCUGUAACAGACACAGCUUUGAGGGGAGCGGAGGUCUCGGGUGGGGCUGUAACAGACACAGCUUUGAGGGGAGCGGAGGUCUCGGGUGGGGCUGUAACAGACACAGCUUUGAGGGGAGCGGAGGUCUCGGGUGGGGCUGUAACAGACACAGCUUUGAGGGGUGCGGAGGUCUCGGGUGGGGCUGUAACAGACACAGGUAGAGCUGUAACUAGUGGUGCGAAGGCCAAGGGCUGAGACAUUAUCCUGAGCAGGCAGUCGCCCUUGCAGAUGAAUGACGGACUACAAAUUAUGCGCCAGUGAUCGAAGGAGUGUGUCACUGAAACUUAAUAAAGUCACUGUCAGCUAUGCAAUGGGAUUGGGCGCCUCAGAGUAAUGGACAGGUGAUGGGCGGUUUUAUAUGAGCUACCACCUCCCCCCCCCCCCGCCCCCCACACACCCAACGACGCUUCAUUUUACACGGUGCUCGCAGGACAGGAGCUAAUCGAUCGCU